AUACAGUGGAGAGUUUGAUCCUGGCUCAGGAUGAACGCUAGCUACAGGCUUAACACAUGCAAGUCGAGGGGCAGCAUGAAGUUUGCUUGCAAACUUUG
rnacentral:rRNA from 1 species